UAGGGAAUCUUCCACAAUGGACGAAAGUCUGAUGGAGCAACGCCGCGUGAGUGAAGAAGGGUUUCGGCUCGUAAAACUCUGUUGUUAGAGAAGAACAGCCGUGAGAGUAACUGCUCACGGUAUGACGGUAUCUAACCAGAAAGUCACGGCUAACUACGUG
rnacentral:rRNA from 1 species